GCAAACUUGGUCAUUUAGAGGAAGUAAAAGUCGUAACAAGGUUUCCGUAGGUGAACCUGCGGAAGGAUCAUUAUUGAAACAAUAUAGAGUUGGUUGUUGCUGGCCUGCGGGAGCAUGUGCACACCUUCUCUUUUCAUCCACACACCCCUGUGCACUUGUGAGAUGGGAGGGCUUUUUUUUUGUUUGAAAGAAUAUAUAUAUAUUUUCUUUCCAUUUAAAAUAAGCACUUUUGUCUGCUAAAUCACACAAACUCAUUUAUUUUAAACCGAAUGUUAUUGAUGUAACACAUCUAAUACUAAAUUUCAACAACGGAUCUCUUGGCUCUCGCAUCGAUGAAGAACGCAGC
rnacentral:misc_RNA from 1 species